UCCCUGAAGGACUAGUGGUUAGGCCACGGCACUCUCACCGCCGUGGCCCAGGUUCAAUUCCUGGCCAGGCAA